rnacentral:lncRNA from 1 species
CUAAUCAAAUUUCUUGCCAUCAAAAUCUUGUCAUUAUAGUAGAGCCAAGUAAAUAAUUUAACCUUCUCCAAAAGGAGAAGCUUCCAGAUGAAUUUACCAAGAAGAGAGACUACUCCACCAUGCCUGAAGAAGUUGUAGCAAUGCCAUACAAGGUAUGUUUCAAUUACAUUCCACUUCCAAUUCCACUUGUCAGUUUCAGUAGAUAGAGAAGAAGAUUAGAGAAUUAGUGGUA